GUUCUACAGUCAGAAGAUGGACGGGUCCUGAGCACUUAAACUGUUGGGCACCCGCGGCUGGUGGGCCCCACGCCAUGCGUGGGAAGCGACCACAGCGCGGGGCCUUGCCCGCCCCGGGCUUGCUUCUCCUUCAUUUUUUUUUCCUUUCAGAUGUCAAGUUUUUUGGUGUGUUCUUCCCCUCCUUUCAUCUACCCUCCACCCCACUCCCAUAACCCCUCACCCACCCCAUCCUCUCUCCCAGUCCCAAAAUCUCAGCAGCAAAGCUCUGGCUCCCAAUUCAGAUGAGGGAUCCCUGUGAGUUUUGCUCCCUGGCUCGGCAGGCAGGCAGGGGCAGGCAGGGGAAUCCUCUGGCCAUGGCAGUGGCUGCUCCAGGGUGCUGCAAAGCUGCCGGGUGCUCGAUGGCUGCACUGGAGGGAGACGGGGGGGGGGUGGGCUGGGAGCCGGCGUUGGCAUUAGCUCCGUUUCCUGGAGCUCCCCCUGUAUGGCUGAACUGUUGCCGGCAGCACUGGUCUGUGCACUAUUUAUAGACUCAUGUAAAGACUUUCUAUAAAUACAGGGGUGGGAGGAGGGCUUUUCCGGAGCUGCCAGAGUGGCGUGGGCAUCAUGUUUGUGCAGGGUCUCCCUCCAGUGCCGCCUCCCUGCCUGCUCACAGGCAGCCCUGCACCUCUGCAGAGGAGCACCUCAAAGUCCAGCCAGGGGCUCUGUGGGUGUCCCCUGCCCCACUGUGGGGCCAGAGCAUCCUCCAGCACUGACCUGGCUGUGGGUGUUGCUGGGGUGGCCGGAGCACCCAGGAGGCAUCUGGCCAGCCAAGCUCCUGCCAUGGGCAGGCAGUGUUUCCCAGCCUGGCUGUUAUGCUCUCCCUGAUGGAAAAGGAUUUAUCCAGGGAGGGAGAGGGACCCUACAUCUUCUGAGAGCUGCCUUGCCUGCCACCACCAGCCCUCUGCCCCUGGGCUGAGCCAGAGCUGAACGUUUCCAACCUGAAGCUGAGUGAAAAUAGCCCAUAAUGGGUGUGUUGUAAAUAUGUUAUUGUGCCAGUAUUUUUUUUACUGUGCCUUUUUUUUAAGGAAAAAAAAAAACCACAUUGAGAAAUAUGUAGAUUUAAAAUGCUUUUUAUACAUUUUCUGUGGAUCAGAAAAAGAAAAAUCCCCAACCUUUGAUAAUCUGUUUAAGAAAGAAAGAAAGAAAAAAAAAAAUUGCGAUGUCUUGUAACUAUCACUUACCUUAAUUUAUAUGUUCCAGUAUCUGGAAUGUCACUCUGUGCUUUUUGUAACUAGGAUGUGUUUAAAGCAAUAGCUGUGGGAAGGGGAACCAGCAUGGACAGUGUGUUCUCAGGGACCUGAACCCGAUUGCUGCCACGGGGUUCCCGUGGGAGCAGUCACCAAUAAAGUGGCUUUUUUGCUGACCACAGUCA